rnacentral:rRNA from 1 species
AUGAAAAACUCUACCCACCACCUCUUAAGUAAGUUAUCUUUGCCACGCCCAGAUUUGGCUGAGGAGGAGAGGGGCAGCGUGGGGGCGAUGAUGCGGCAGACGCUGGGGUCCCGGCCGCCGAGCUGCGAGGGGCAGUGCCGGUGGGCGUGCGGCGGCCGCCGGUGCGAGGCCGUGCAGGUGCCCGUCACUCCGCGCGACCUGGAGCAGCAGCUGAAGAAGAGGAAGGAGAAGAGGAGAUCGCCGGCAGCAGGGCCAGGAGGGGGCGCGCUGCUGCCGUCGUCGUACGACGAGCACUCCAACUACAAGCCGCUCGGCUGGAGAUGCAAGUGCCUCCACUCCUAG